rnacentral:rRNA from 1 species
CCUACGGGGCGCAGCAGUAGGGAAUCUUCCACAAUGGACGAAAGUCUGACCCAGCAACGCCGCGUGAAGGAAGAAGGCUUUCGGGUUGUAAACUUCUUUUAUCAGGGACGAAGCAAGUGACGGUACCUGAUGAAUAAGCCACGGCUAACUACGUGCCAGCAGCCGCGGUAAUACGUAGGUGGCAAGCGUUAUCCGGAUUUACUGGGUGUAAAGGGCGUGUAGGCGGGAAAGCAAGUCAGAUGUGAAAACCAUGGGCUCAACCUGUGGCCUGCAUUUGAAACUGUUUUUCUUGAGUACUGGAGAGGCAGACGGAAUUCCUAGUGUAGCGGUGAAAUGCGUAGAUAUUAGGAGGAACACCAGUGGCGAAGGCGGUCUGCUGGACAGCAACUGACGCUGAGGCGCGAAAGCGUGGGGAGCAAACAGGAUUAGAUACCCCGGUAGUC